GGGGAGUCCGUCGGGUCAUGAUGGCGACUGCCACGCACCAUGUAUGGAGCAACUACAGCCUUCAAGUAAAGAAGGGGAAGAAGCCUCUCAAGAAAAUGACAUUAUACAAUUUCAUAUUACGGGCAGUUAUGGCCUCCAGGCCGAAAGAUACCAUGUUGGAUGUGGCUGUCCAGGUGCAGGAGACAUUGAAGCAUGCCCCUGCCCGAUGUAAAAAGAUGGGGAUCUUUAACCAACUUCAAUCCAUAAAUGUUGCCGGACUCCAUCCUUGAUUUUGGGACAGUGAAAAAGCACUAAAGUUGUUUAUGGAUCUGCUGCUCCUAAGUAAUUAGAAUGGGUUGUAUGUAGA